UAUCUCUGUAGAGUCUGCAUAUCAAUAAGCGGAGGAAAAGAAACUAACAAGGAUUCCCCUAGUAACGGCGAGUGAAGCGGGAAGAGCUCAAAUUUGAAAUCUUCAAGGUUUGACCUUGACGAAUUGUAGUUUAAAGAAGUGUUUUCGGUUAGAGGAGUAGUAAAAGUUCUUUGGAAUAGGACAUCAUAGGAGGGUGAGAAUCCCGUAUUUGACUAUUCUUUCUAGCUUUGUGAUACACUUUCAAAGAGUCGGAUUGUUUGGGAAUGCAGUCCAAAAUGGGUGGUAAAUUUCAUCUAAAGCUAAAUAUUGGCGAGAGACCGAUAGCGAACAAGUACCGUGAGGGAAAGAUGAAAAGAACUUUGAAAAGAGAGUUAAACAGUACGUGAAAUUGUCAAAAGGGAAGCGUUUGACACCAGUGUUGUUUUUCCGAAAAUCAAUUAAAAAUUGAUUCAUGCCAGGUUGUAUUGACCUUAUCAGCUUGCAAUUUGGUUUUGGGUCUCUUUUUGAUGCACUUUUCGGUUAACAAGUCAACAUCAAUUUCCUUUGCUGUAAAAAGGUAAGAGGAGGGUGGCUUCAAUUUCGGUUGAAGUGUUUAUAGCCUUUUAUCUCUGCAGUCGGGGAGAUUGAGGUCUGCAGCGUAGAUCCUUCGGGGCUAGAUACAUUUAUGCUAAGUUAUAGCUUUUCAUAGACAACUUGUUGACUAUGUUUAGUCAUGUAGCUUACUCGUAAGUGCUAUUUUACCUACGCUUAGGAUGUUGAAGACUCUACAGAGAUA
rnacentral:rRNA from 1 species